AGCGAAAGCGUGGGGAGCGAACAGGAUUAGAUACCCUGGUAGUUCCACGCCGUAAACGAUGAGUGCUAAGUGUUAGGGGGUUUCCGCCCCCUUAGUGCUGCAGCUAACGCAUUAAGCACUCCGCCUGGGGAGUACGGUCGCAAGACUGAAACUCAAAGGAAUUGACGGGGGCCCGCACAAGCGGUGGAGCAUGUGGUUUUAUUCGAAGCAACGCGAAGAACCUUACCAGGUCUUGACAUCCUCUGACAACCCUAGAGAUAGGGCUUUUCCUUCGGGGACAGAGUGACAGGUGGUGCAUGGUUGUCGUCAGCUCGUGUCGUGAGAUGUUGGGUUAAGUCCCGCAACGAGCGCAACCCUUGAUCUUAGUUGCCAGCAUUCAGUUGGGCACUCUAAGGUGACUGCCGGUGACAAACCGGAGGAAGGUGGGGAUGACGUCAAAUCAUCAUGCCCCUUAUGACCUGGGCUACACACGUGCUACAAUGGACAGAACAAAGGGCUGCAAGACCGCAAGGUUUAGCCAAUCCCAUAAAUCUGUUCUCAGUUCGGAUCGCAGUCUGCAACUCGACUGCGUGAAGCUGGAAUCGCUAGUAAUCGCGGAUCAGCAUGCCGCGGUGAAUACGUUCCCGGGCCUUGUACACACCGCCCGUCACACCACGAGAGUUUGCUACACCCGAAGUCGGUUGAGUAAGCUCCAUCA
rnacentral:rRNA from 1 species